GACGAACGCUGGCGGCGUGCCUAAUACAUGCAAGUCGAGCGGACCUCUUCGGAGGUUAGCGGCGGACGGGUGAGUAACACGUGGGCAACCUGCCUGUAAGACUGGGAUAACUCCGGGAAACCGGAGCUAAUACCGGAUAGUAUCUUGAACCGCAUGGUUCAAGUUGGAAAGACGGUUUCGGCUGUCACUUACAGAUGGGCCUGCGGCGCAUUAGCUAGUUGGUGAGGUAAUGGCUAACCAAGGCAACGAUGCGUAGCCGACCUGAGAGGGUGAUCGGCCACACUGGGACUGAGACACGGCCCAGACUCCUACGGGAGGCAGCAGUAGGGAAUCUUCCGCAAUGGACGAAAGUCUGACGGAGCAACGCCGCGUGAGUGAUGAAGGUUUUCGGAUCGUAAAACUCUGUUGUUAGGGAAGAGCAAGUGCGAGAGUAACUGCUCGCACCUUGACGGUACCUAACCAGAAAGCCACGGCUAACUACGUGCCAGCCGCCGCCGUAAUAC
rnacentral:rRNA from 1 species